AAAGGAAUUGACGGGGGCCCGCACAAGCAGCGGAGCAUGUGGUUUAAUUCGAAGCAACGCGAAGAACCUUACCAAGGCUUGACAUCCUGCUAAGGUCAUGGAAACAUGAAGUCCCUUCGGGGGAGCAGAGACAGGUGGUGCAUGGUUGUCGUCAGCUCGUGUCGUGAGAUGUUGGGUUAAGUCCCGCAACGAGCGCAACCCCUGUUGCCAGUUACCAGCAAGUAAAGUUGGGGACUCUGGUGAGACCGCCGGGGACAACUCGGAGGAAGGUGGGGACGACGUCAAAUCAUCAUGCCCCUUAUGUCUUGGGCUACACACGUGCUACAAUGGCUAUAACAAAGGGAAGCGACAGCGCAAGCUGAAGCGGAUCUCAGAAAAGUAGUCCCAGUUCGGAUCGUGGGCUGCAACCCGCCCACGUGAAGUCGGAGUUGCUAGUAAUCGCGGAUCAGAACGCCGCGGUGAAUACGUUCCCGGGCCUUGUACACACCGCCCGU
rnacentral:rRNA from 1 species